rnacentral:rRNA from 1 species
GUAGGUGGCAAGCGUUGUCCGGAAUUAUUGGGCGUAAAGCGCGCGCAGGCGGGUUCUUUAAGUCUGAUGUGAAAGCCCACGGGCUCAACCGUGGAGGGUCAUUGGAAACUGGAGAACUUGAGUACAGAAGAGGAAAGCGGAAUUCCACGUGUAGCGGUGAAAUGCGUAGAGAUGUGGAGGAACACCAGUGGCGAAGGCGGCUUUCUGGUCUGUAACUGACGCUGAGGCGCGAAAGCGUGGGGAGCAAACAGGAUUAGAUACCCUGGUAGUCCACGCCGUAAACGACGAGUGCUAAGUGUUAGGGGGUUUCCGCCCCUUAGUGCUGUAGCUAACGCAUUAAGCACUCCGCCUGGGGAGUACGGCCGCAAAGGCUG